rnacentral:rRNA from 1 species
CGAACGCUGGCGGCAGGCCUAAUACAUGCAAGUCGAACGGCUCUUCGGAGCAGUGGCGGACGGGUGAGUAACGCGUGGGAAUGUGCCCUUUGGUACGGAACAACACAGGGAAACUUGUGCUAAUACCGUAUGUGCCCUUCGGGGGAAAGAUUUAUCGCCAUUGGAGCAGCCCGCGUUGGAUUAGGUAGUUGGUGAGGUAAAGGCUCACCAAGCCUACGAUCCAUAGCUGGUCUGAGAGGAUGACCAGCCACACUGGGACUGAGACACGGCCCAGACUCCUACGGGAGGCAGCAGUAGGGAAUCUUGCGCAAUGGGCGAAAGCCUGACGCAGCCAUGCCGCGUGUAUGAUGAAGGUCUUAGGAUUGUAAAAUACUUUCACCGGGGAAGGUAAUGACAGUAUCGGGAGAAUAAGCUCCGGCUAACUCCGUGCCAGCCGCCGCGGUAAAAC